rnacentral:rRNA from 1 species
AUUGAACGCUGGCGGCAGGCUUAACACAUGCAAGUCGGGCGGAGAGAGGUAGCUUGCUACUGAUCUUAGCGGCGGACGGGUGAGUAAUGCUUAGGAAUCUGCCUAUUAGUGGGGGACAACAUUUCGAAAGGAAUGCUAAUACCGCAUACGUCCUACGGGAGAAAGCAGGGGAUCUUCGGACCUUGCGCUAAUAGAUGAGCCUAAGUCUGAUUAGCUAGUUGGUGGGGUAACGGCCUACCAAGGCGACGAUCUGUAGCGGGUCUGAGAGGAUGAGCCGCCACACUGGGACUGAGACACGGCCCAGACUCCGACGAGAGGCAGCAGUGGGGAAGAUUGGACAAUGGGCGAAAGCCUAAUCCAGCCAUGCCGCGUGUGGGAAGAAGGUCUUCGGAUUGUAAAGCACUUUAAGUCGGGAGGAAGGGCUGUAGGCUAAUACCUUGCAGUUUUGACGUUACCGACAGAAUAAGCACCGGCUAACUUCGUGCCAGCAGCCGCCGUAAAAC